GCGGGAGCACAACGAGCUCGCCGCGUCUGCUUGCCAUGCAGAAGGUCGUGGGUUCGAGUCCCAUCAUCCGCU
rnacentral:tRNA from 1 species